AUAUGCUAUGUUCAGAAACAGUGAAGUACCAUGGCUGAACCAGAUCCUGUAACAGAAAAGAAAGUACAACAGUACACGACUGUGAUUGUCAUAAGCUGUAUGCCAAGGAUGUCCCUGGCGCUGUUUUACCGCAACUUCAACCAGAAAGAUGCAAAGUUACAGAGUUGCGAAUAUGGUUGAAAUGCCGGGGACAAGCUGUGAAAUCGAAUGAGACAAAAGCCGAACUUUGCUUGAGGGUAAAGAAAUUCAGUGACAACCAGGAUAACAUCCUAAUUGUGGAUCCUUAUCCAGACCAGCCAUUUGCAGCUAAGCAGAAGUCGUCCUGUAUGAACUGUCAAGGACAAUCAACAGUGUCAACAGCGGAAGAACAUCUUAAUUUGGAAGAAUGCACAUGGACCCAAAGCACCAGACCGAUCUUCAAAGACUUUUCGUACAUGAACAUUCUGGAAUGGACCAAAAGUUCUGGUAAAGGUUCAUAACUGGGUGUUGAAAAGCCUAUUCAACGAGGCUAUGUGUUUUUUCAUGACGGUUAUGUAUUCGACACAUGGACAUCUGAACGUAACAGUUCAACAAUUGUUAGAUGCAAGUGUUUCCGCUCCAUGAAAAACCGGUAAUCAGAAAUAAAGAGUAUUGAAA